rnacentral:rRNA from 1 species
GACAGAGGCCUCAAGCGUUAGGCGGAAUCACUGGGCUUAAAGCGUGUGUAGGCGGAUCGUUAAGUGUCUUGUGAAAUCCCACGGCUCACCCGUGGAACUGCUGGGCAUACUGGGCGUCUUGGGCCAACUAGGGGCAGCCGGAACAAGCGGUGGAGCGGUGAAAUGCGUAGAUAUCGCUUGGAACGCCGAAGGUGAAAACAGGCUGCUGGGGUUGUGCCGACGCUGAGACACGAAAGCCAGGGGGAGCAAACGGG